rnacentral:rRNA from 1 species
GACGAACGCUGGCGGCGUGCCUAAUACAUGCAAGUAGAACGCACAGUUUAUACCGUAGCUUGCUACACCAUAGACUGUGAGUUGCGAACGGGUGAGUAACGCGUAGGUAACCUGCCUGGUAGCGGGGGAUAACUAUUGGAAACGAUAGCUAAUACCGCAUAAUAUUAAUUAUUGCAUGAUAAUUAAUUGAAAGGUGCAAUUGCACCACUACCAGAUGGACCUGCGUUGUAUUAGCUAGUAGGUGAGGUAACGGCUCACCUAGGCGACGAUACGUAGCCGACCUGAGAGGGUGAUCGGCCACACUGGGACUGAGACACGGCCCAGACUCCUACGGGAGGCAGCAGUAGGGAAUCUUCGGCAAUGGACGAAAGUCUGACCGAGCAACGCCGCGUGAGUGAAGAAGGUUUUCGGAUCGUAAAGCUCUGUUGUAAGAGAAGAACGGGUGUGAGAGUGGAAAGUUCACACUGU